UAAUACGGAGGGUGCAAGCGUUGUUCGGAUUAUUGGGCGUAAAGCGAGUGUAGGCGGUUUGAAAAGUCGGAUGUGAAAUCCCGAGGCCCAACCUCGGAACUGCAUCCGAAACUGUCAGGCUAGAGUUCCGGAGAGGGUGGCGGAAUUCCCGGUGUAGGGGUGAAAUCCGUAGAUAUCGGGAGGAACACCAGUGGCGAAGGCGGCCACCUGGACGGUGACUGACGCUGAGACUCGAAAGCGUGGGUAGCAAACAGGAUUAGAUACCCUGGUAGUCCACGCCGUAAACGGUGAGAGCUCGUCGUAGUGGGUAUUGACCCCUGCUGUGACCAAGCUAACGCAUGAAGCUCUCCGCCUGGGAAGUACGGUCGCAAGACUA
rnacentral:rRNA from 1 species